rnacentral:rRNA from 1 species
UGGCGGACGGGUGAGUAACGCGUGGGUAACCUGCCUUACACAGGGGAUAACACUUAGAAAUAGGUGCUAAAACCGCAUAAGCGCACAGCUUCGCAUGAAGCGGUGUAGAAAACUCCGGUGGUGUAAGAUGGACCCGCGUCUGAUUAGCUUGUUGGCGGGGUAACGGCCCACCAAGGCGACGAUCAGUAGCCGGCCUGAGAGGGCGGACGGCCACAUUGGGACUGAGACACGGCCCAGACUCCUACGGAAGGCAGCAG